AGUGAACGCUGGCGGUAGGCCUAACACAUGCAAGUCGAACGGCAGCACAGUAAGAGCUUGCUCUUACGGGUGGCGAGUGGCGGACGGGUGAGGAAUACAUCGGAAUCUACUUUUUCGUGGGGGAUAACGUAGGGAAACUUACGCUAUUACCCCUUCGAACCACCGGGUGAAACCAGGGGUCCUUCGACCCUUGCCCGAUUGAAUGAGCGAUGUCGGAUUAGCUAGUUGGCGGGGUAAAGGCCCACCAAGGCGACGAUCCGUAGCUGGUCUGAGAGGAUGAUCAGCCACACUGGAACUGAGACACGGUCCAGACUCCUACGGGAGGCAGCAGUGGGGAAUAUUGGACAAUGGGCGCAAGCCUGAUCCAGCCAUACCGCGUGGGUGAAGAAGGCCUUCGGGUUGUAAAGCCCUUUUGUUGGGAAAGAAAAGCAGCAGGUUAAUACCCCGCUGUUCUGACGGUACCCAAAGAAUAAGCACCGGCUAACUUCGUG
rnacentral:rRNA from 1 species